CAGUGAUUCUUCUGCUCUGCAGCUCUGCUGCUGUUCAAGGUUACUGGACCGCUUGGCCCACUGUUCCAACAAGUCCUGACGGCCAGACAACCGACCGUACCUCCUGUAGGGACUACUGUGGCCUCAACGUUGGUAGCUGCUCCUGC